AUUGAACGCUGGCGGCAGGCCUAACACAUGCAAGUCGAACGGUAACAGGAAGAAGCUUGCUUCUUUGCUGACGAGUGGCGGACGGGUGAGUAAUGUCUGGGAAACUGCCUGAUGGAGGGGGAUAACUACUGGAAACGGUAGCUAAUACCGCAUAAUGUCGCAAGACCAAAGAGGGGGACCUUCGGGCCUCUUGCCAUCGGAUGUGCCCAGAUGGGAUUAGCUAGUAGGUGGGGUAACGGCUCACCUAGGCGACGAUCCCUAGCUGGUCUGAGAGGAUGACCAGCCACACUGGAACUGAGACACGGUCAGACUCCUACGGGAGGCAGCAGUGGGGAAUAUUGCACAAUGGGCGCAAGCCUGAUGCAGCUAUGCCGCGUGUAUGAAGAAGGCCUUCGGGUUGUAAAGUACUUUCAGCGGGGAGGAAGGGAGUAAAGUUAAUACCUUUGCUCAUUGACGUUACCCGCAGAAGAAGCACCGGCUAACUCC
rnacentral:rRNA from 1 species